CUUGUCUCCCUUUAUAAAACCUUCUCUCACUCCAUUCAAGCGCACUUUUAUUCUCCCAAAACUCUACCAUAAUCAGGAAAUCUCCAGUUCUAUUCCUUCGUCACCAUGCUUUUGAGGUCCCGAAAAACUGGAGGAAACGCCAUGCCUGAUCAGGAAAUUUCCUUGCCGGCAAAGCGCAACCAGCGAAGAUGGAGGAUGGCCUUCACAGCCAUUUACUUCACAAGGGUUCUUGUUUCCCUGUCCAAGAAAGUUCUUGACAACCAGACCAGGCUCUUGCGUUCCCUCUCCUAUGUUGCCAUCGAUGUCAAUUCCCCACGUCCCAUACCUGGGCCUUUUGAUGGUAUUGAUCAGAAAACAUUGACUGAGAUGGUAAAAAAGAGAAGCUUUGAAUCCCUGCAACAACUAGGAGGAGCCAAACAGGUCGCUGCAAUUCUUCUGACUGAUGCAAAGGACGGUAUAAGCGG
rnacentral:misc_RNA from 1 species